AUGACGCUCGCGGACGUGGCGGACGACGUGCAUCGGUGGGUGCGGGAGGCCGCGACGGGCGAGCACUUCCGGGGGCUCAUCGACUGGGUGGAGGCGCUGCGGCCCAAGCCGGCCGUUGCCAGGGCGUACCUGGGUGGCACCGGCGGCUCGGAGGCGAUGGCGUGCAUCGUGUCAUCGGGGAUGGGCUUCCCGGUGGGCGAGGCCGAUUUCGGGACGGGUCUGCCGGCGUUCGCGUCAUAUCACUUUCCGUGGCCCGCUGACACGGGGUACAUCAUGCCGAUGCCGAGCGCACGCGGGGACGGCGAUUGGGUUGUGUACGUCCACGCGGUGCCAGAGUUGGUGAAGGUGAUGGAGGAAGAGCCAUCUGUUUUCAAAGCCCUGGAGAAUAGCUAUGUGUUCGGAUGA
rnacentral:rRNA from 1 species